rnacentral:rRNA from 1 species
GAUGAACGCUGGCGGCGUGCCUAAUACAUGCAAGUCGAGCGAACAGAUGAGGAGCUUGCUCCUCUGACGUUAGCGGCGGACGGGUGAGUAACACGUGGAUAACCUACCUAUAAGACUGGGAUAACUUCGGGAAACCGGAGCUAAUACCGGAUAAUAUAUUGAACCGCAUGGUUCAAUAGUGAAAGACGGUUUUGCUGUCACUUAUAGAUGGAUCCGCGCCGCAUUAGCUAGUUGGUAAGGUAACGGCUUACCAAGGCAACGAUGCGUAGCCGACCUGAGAGGGGUGUCGGCCACAGUGGAAAUGAGACCGGGACACAACCCCUCGGGGAGGCCGCAGGGGGGAAUCUUCCGGAAGGGGGGAAAGCCUAACGGAGCAACGGCGGGUGAGGAAUGAAGGUCUUAGGAUCGUAAAACUUUGUUAUUAGGGAAAAAAAAAUGGGAAAGUAACUAUGCACGUCUUGACGGUACCUAAUCAAAAAGCCACGGCUAACUACGU